rnacentral:ncRNA from 1 species
CAAAUACAUCAAGAUUUUGAGCUGAAAAGUUCAAAAACCAACCGAGACGCGAGUCCACGGUGGUCAAAAGAUGUGGACAGUCUGUCAAAAUAAAGAGCAACU